rnacentral:rRNA from 1 species
AACGCGAAGAACCUUACCAGGGUUUGACAUCCCGAGAAGGUUUCCGAAAGGAAAUUGUGCCGUAAGGAACUCGGUGACAGGUGAUGCAUGGCCGUCGUCAGCUCGUGUCGUGAGAUGUUUGGUUAAGUCCAUCAACGAGCGCAACCCUUAUAUUUAGUUGGAUUUCUCUAAAUAGACUGCCCCGGUAACGGGGAGGAAGGAGGGGAUGAUGUCAGGUCAGUAUUUCCCUUACAUCCUGGGCUAGAAACACGCUACAAUGGCCGGUACAAAGGGCAGCCAAGUCGCGAGACGGAGCAAAUCCCAUCAAAGCCGGUCUCAGUUCGGAUAGCAGGCUGAAACUCGCCUGCUUGAAGUCGGAAUCGCUAGUAACGGUGAGUCAGCACAUCACCGUGAAUACGUUCCCGGGCCUUGUA